GUGGGGAAUAUUGGACAAUGGGCGAAAGCCUGAUCCAGCCAUGCCGCGUGUGUGAAGAAGGUCUUCGGAUUGUAAAGCACUUUAAGUUGGGAGGAAGGGCAGUAAGUUAAUACCUUGCUGUUUUGACGUUACCGACAGAAUAAGCACCGGCUAACUUCGUACCAGCAGCCGCGGUAAUACGAAGGGUGCAAGCGUUAAUCGGAAUUACUGGGCGUAAAGCGCGCGUAGGUGGUUUUGUAAGUUGGAGGUGAAAUCCCCGGGCUCAACCUGGGAACUGCCUCCAAAACUGCAUGACUAGAGUACGGUAGAGGGUAGUGGAAUUUCCUGUGUAGCGGUGAAAUGCGUAGAUAUAGGAAGGAACACCAGUGGCGAAGGCGACUACCUGGACUGAUACUGACACUGAGGUGCGAAAGCGUGGGGAGCAAACAGGAUUAGAUACCCGUGUAGUCC
rnacentral:rRNA from 1 species